rnacentral:rRNA from 1 species
UACAGAGGGGGCAAGCGUUGUUCGGAAUUACUGGGCGUAAAGGGCGCGUAGGCGGCCUCUUAAGUCGAACGUGAAAUCCCCGGGCUCAACCCGGGAACUGCGUCCGAUACUGGGGGGCUUGAAUCCGGGAGAGGGAUGUGGAAUUCCAGGUGUAGCGGUGAAAUGCGUAGAUAUCUGGAGGAACACCGGUGGCGAAGGCGGCAUCCUGGGGCGCUAUUGACGCUGAGGCGCGAAAGCCAGGGGAGCGAACGGG